rnacentral:rRNA from 1 species
CACCUCUAGCAAAUAAAACAUGUAUUAUAGGCACUGCCUGCCCAGUGACACCUAGUUUAACGGCCGCGGUAUUCUGACCGUGCAAAGGUAGCAUAAUCACUUGUCUUUUAAAUAAAGACUAGUAUGAAUGGCAAAACGAAAACUUAACUGUCUCCUUAAUCUAGUCAAUGAAAUUGAUCUUCUUGUACAAAAGCAAGAAUAAAAAAAUAAGACGAGAAGACCCUAUGGAACUUAAGUUAUUAUACACUUAAAUAUACCAUAAAUAAUAAUUGAAAUACUAACUUUGGUUGGGGCAACCACGGAGAAUAAUUAUCCUCCGAGAAACACAAGCUAAAUUAAACAAAAUUAAGUACCAGAAAUCUAUAAUUAGACCCAAUAUAUUUGAUCAACGAACCAAGCUACCCUAGGGAUAACAGCGCAAUCUUCUUCACGAGCCCUUAUUAUCAAGAAGGUUUACGACCUCGAUGUUGGAUCAGGAUAUCCUUACAGUGCAGCUGCUGUUAAUGGUUUGUUUGUUCAACAAUUAAAAUCCUACGUGAUCUGAGUUCAGACCGGAGAAAUCCAGGUCAGUUUCUAUCUAU